UUUAAGGCUCUUUUCAGAGCCAUACAAAUUUAGUAAAGGAGAUGU
rfam:Stegodyphus mimosarum contig113158, whole genome shotgun sequence.